rnacentral:rRNA from 1 species
UACAGAGGGUGCAAGCGUUAAUCGGAAUUACUGGGCGUAAAGCGUGCGUAGACGGUUAUGUAAGUCAGGUGUGAAAGCCCCGGGCUCAACCUGGGAAUGGCAUUUGAGACUGCAUAGCUAGGGUGCUGAAGAGGGAAGCGGAAUUUCCGGUGUAGCGGUGAAAUGCGUAGAUAUCAGGAGGAACACCAAUUGCGAAGGCAGCUCGCUGGGACGUUACUGACGCUGAGACGCGAAAGCGUGGGGAGCAAACAGG